rnacentral:rRNA from 1 species
CGUAGGUGGCAAGCGUUGUCCGGAUUUAUUGGGUUUAAAGGGUGCGUAGGUGGUCUUGUAAGUCAGUGGUGAAAUACGGCAGCUCAACUGUCGAGGUGCCAUUGAUACUGCAAGACUUGAGUACAGACGAGGUAGGCGGAAUUGACGGUGUAGCGGUGAAAUGCUUAGAUAUCGUCAAGAACACCGAUAGCGAAGGCAGCUUACUAGACUGUAACUGACACUGAGGCACGAAAGUGUGGGGGAUCAAACAGGAUUAGAUACCCUGGUAGUCCACACUGUAAACGAUGAUUUACUCGAUGUUGGCGAUACACAGCCAGCGUCUUAGCGAAAGCGAUAAGUAAUCCACCUGGGGAGUACGCCCGCAAGGGCG